ACGGGGCGCAGCAGGCGCGAAAACUUUACAAUGCUGGAAACAGCGAUAAAGGGACCUCGUAGUGCAAGGUUACAAAUCUGGCUGUCGUGAUGACUGAAAAGCAUUGCAUAGCAAGGGCCGGGCAAGACAGGUGCCAGCCGACGUGGUAACACCGGCGGCUCGAGUGGUACCGU
rnacentral:rRNA from 1 species